GAACGCUAGCUACAGGCUUAACACAUGCAAGUCGAGGGGCAGCAUGGUCUUAGCUUGCUAAGGCCGAUGGCGACCGGCGCACGGGUGAGUAACGCGUAUCCAACCUGCCUUACACUCUUGGACAGCCUUCUGAAAGGGAGAUUAAUACAAGAUGUUAUCAUGAGUAAGCAUUUUCGCAUGAUUAAAGGUUUACCGGUGUAAGAUGGGGAUGCGUUCCAUUAGAUAGUAGGCGGGGUAACGGCCCACCUAGUCUUCGAUGGAUAGGGGUUCUGAGAGGAAGGUCCCCCACAUUGGAACUGAGACACGGUCCAAACUCCUACGGGAGGCAGCAGUGAGGAAUAUUGGUCAAUGGACGAGAGUCUGAACCAGCCAAGUAGCGUGAAGGAUGAAGGUUCUAUGGAUUGUAAACUUCUUUUAUACGGGAAUAAACGGAUCCACGUGUGGAUUUUUGCAUGUACCGUAUGAAUAAGGAUCGGCUAACUCCGUGCCAGCAGCCGCGGUAAUACGGAGGAUCCGAGCGUUAUCCGGAUUUAUUGGGUUUAAAGGGAGCGUAGAUGGGUUGUUAAGUCAGUUGUGAAAGUUUGCGGCUCAACCGUAAAAUUGCAAUUGAUACUGGCAGUCUUGAGUACAGUUGAGGUAGGCGGAAUUCGUGGUGUAGCGGUGAAAUGCUUAGAUAUCACGAAGAACUCCGAUUGCGAAGGCAGCUUACUAACCUGUAACUGACAUUGAUGCUCGAAAGUGUGGGUAUCAAACAGGAUUAGAUACCCUGGUAGUCCACACGGUAAACGAUGAAUACUCGCUGUAGGCGAUAUACAGUCUGCGGCCAAGCGAAAGCAUUAAGUAUUCCACCUGGGGAGUACGCCGGCAACGGUGAAACUCAAAGGAAUUGACGGGGGCCCGCACAAGCGGAGGAACAUGUGGUUUAAUUCGAUGAUACGCGAGGAACCUUACCCGGGCUUAAAUUGCAACCGAAUAUGGCGGAAACGCUAUAGCUAGCAAUAGCGGUUGUGAAGGUGCUGCAUGGUUGUCGUCAGCUCGUGCCGUGAGGUGUCGGCUUAAGUGCCAUAACGAGCGCAACCCUUGCCGAUAGUUACUAACAGGUCAUGCUGAGGACUCUGUCGGGACUGCCAUCGUAAGAUGUGAGGAAGGUGGGGAUGACGUCAAAUCAGCACGGCCCUUACGUCCGGGGCUACACACGUGUUACAAUGGGGGGUACAGAGGGCUGCUACCACGCAAGUGGAUGCCAAUCCCAAAAACCUCUCUCAGUUCGGAUUGAAGUCUGCAACCCGACUUCAUGAAGCUGGAUUCGCUAGUAAUCGCGCAUCAGCCACGGCGCGGUGAAUACGUUCCCGGGCCUUGUACACACCGCCCGUCAAGCCAUGGGAGCCGGGGGUACCUGAAGUGCGUAACCGCAAGGAGCGCCCUAGGGUAAAACUGG
rnacentral:rRNA from 1 species